CACACACACACACACACACACACACACACACACACACACACACACACACACACACACACGCAGUGUGUCACAAACAGGAUUUGUCAUUUUAUCCACAGGAAAGAGACUAAUAUGAACGUGCAACCAGCUGCUGCUACGGAGCCUACUGGGUCCUAGAAACGCAUGUACCAGUUAGCAUGGUGUAACAGCAUGUACCAGUCAGCAUGGUGUAACAGCAUGUACCAGUCAGCAUGGUGUAACAGCAUGUACCCGUCAGCAUGGUGUAACAGCAUGUACCAGUUAGCAUGGUGUAACAGCAUGUACCAGUUAUAUAUGUUAUCAUGGUGUAACAGCAUGUACCAGUUAGCAUGGUGUAACAGCAUGUACCAGUCAGCAUGGUGUAACAGCAUGUGCCAGUCAGCAUGGUGUAACAGCAUGUACCAGUCAGCAUGGUGUAACAGCAUGUACCAGUCAGCAUGGUGUAACAGCAUGUACCAGUUAGCAUGGUGUAACAGCAUGUACCAGUUAGCAUGGUCUAACAGCAUGUACCAGUUAGCAUGGUGUAACAGCAUGUACCAGUUAGCAUGGUAUAACAGCAUGUACCAGUUAGCAUGGUGUAACAGCAUGUACCAGUUCUAUAUGGUAUCAUGGUGUAACAGCAUGUACCAGUUCUAUAUGUUAUCAUGUUGUAACAGCAUGUACCAGUUAGCAUGGUGUAACAGCAUGUACCAGUUCUAUAUGAUAUCAUGGUGUAACAGCAUGUACCAGUUCUAUAUGUUAUCAUGGUGUAACAGCAUGUACCAGUUCUAUAUGUUAUCAUGGUGUAACAGCAUGUACCAGUUCUAUAUGUUAUCAUGGUGUAACAGCAUGUACCAGUUAGCAUGAUGUAACAGCAUGUACCAGUUCUAUAUGUCGUAACAGCUUGUACCAGUUAGCAUGGUGUAACAGCAUGUACCAGUUAGCAUGGUGUAACAGCAUGUACCAGUUAGCAUGGUGAAACAGCAUGUACCAGUUCUAUAUGUUAUCAUGGUGUAACAGCAUGUACCAGUUAGCAUGGUGUAAUAGCAUGUACCAGUCAGCAUGGUGUAACAGCAUGUACCAGUUAUCAUGGUGUAACAGCAUGUACCAGUUAUCAUGGUGUAACAGCAUGUACCAGUUUGCAUGGUGUAACAGCAUGUACCAGUUCUAUAUGUUAUCAUGGUGUAACAGCAUGUACCAGUUAGCAUGGUGUAAUAGCAUGUACCAGUUAGCAUGGUGAAACAGCAUGUACCAGUUCUAUAUGUUAUCAUGGUGUAACAGCAUGUACCAGUUAUAUAUGUUGUAACAGCAUGUACCAGUUCUAUAUGUUGUAACAGUAUGUACCAGUUCUAUAUGUUAUCAUGUUGUAACAGCAUGUACCAGUUCUAUAUGUUAUCAUGUUGUAACAACAUGUACCAGUUCUAUAUGUUGUAACAGCAUGUACCAAUUCUAUAUGUUAUCAUGUUGUAACAGCAUGUACCAGCUCUAUAUGUUGUAACAGCAUGUACCAGUUCUAUAUGGUGUACCCGCAUGUACCAGUUAUCAUGUUGUAACAGCAUGUACCAGUUCUAUAUGUUGUAACAACAUGUACCAGUUCUAUAUGUUGUAACAGCAUGUACCAGUUCUAUAUGUUGUAACGGUACGUACCAGUUCUAUAUGUUAUCAUGUUGUAACAGCAUGUACCAGUUAUCAUUUUGUAACAGCAUGUACCAGUUAUAGAUAUGUUGUAACAGCAGGUACCAGUUAUAUAUGUUAUCAUGUUGUAACAGCAUGUACCAGUUAUCAUUUUGUAACAGCAUGUACCAGUUAUAUAUGGUGUAACAGCAUGUACCAGUUAUAUAUGUUGUAACAGCAUGUACCAGUUAUAUAUGGUGUAACAGCAUGUACCAGUUAUAUAUGUUGUAACAGCAUGUACCAGUUCUAUAUGUUAUCAUGUUGUAACAACAUGUACCAGUUCUAUAUGUUAUCAUGGUGUAACAGCAUGUACCAGUUAUCAUUUUGUAACAGCAUGUACCAGUUCUAUCUGGUGUAACAGCAUGUGCCGGUUCUAUAUGUUGUAACAGCAUGUACCAGUUCUAUAUGUUAUCAUGUUGUAACAGCAUGUACCAGUUAUAUAUGUUGUAACAGCAUUUACCAGUUAUAUAUGUUGUAACAGCAUUUACCAGUUAUAUAUGGUGUAACAGCAUGUACCAGUUAUAUAUGUUGUAACAGCAUGUACCAGUUCUGUAUUUUAUCAAGGGGUAACAGCAUGUACCAGUUCUGUAUUUUAUCAUGGGGUAACAGCAUGUACCAGUUCUAUAUUUUAUCAUGGGGUAACAGCAUGUACCAGUUCUAUAUUUUAUCAUUGGGUAACAGCAUGUACCAGUUCUGUAUUUUAUCAUGGGGUAACAGCAUGUACCAGGUCUGUAUUUUAUCAUGGGGUAACAGCAUGUACCAGUUCUGUAUUUUAUCAUGGGGUAACAACAUGUACCAGUUCUGUAUUUUAUCAUGGGGUAACAGCAUGUACCAGUUCUGUAUUUUAUCAUUGGGUAACAGCAUGUACCAGUUCUGUAUUUUAUCAUGGGGUAACAGCAUGUACCAGGUCUGUAUUUUAUCAUGGGGUAACAGCAUGUACCAGUUCUGUAUUUUAUCAUGGGGUAACAGCAUGUACCAGGUCUGUAUUUUAUCAUGGGGUAACAGCAUGUACCAGGUCUGUAUUUUAUCAUGGGGGAACAGGAUGUACCAGGUCUGUAUUUUAUCAUGGGGUAACAGCAUGUACCAGGUCUGUAUUUUAUCAUGGGGUAACAGCAUGUACCAGGUCUGUAUUUUAUCAUGGGGGAACAGGAUGUACCAGGUCUGUAUUUUAUCAUGGGGUAACAGCAUGUACCAGGUCUGUAUUUUAUCAUGGGGUAACAGCAUGUACCAGGUCUGUAUUUUAUCAUGGGGUAACAGCAUGUACCAGGUCUGUAUUUUAUCAUGGGGUAACAGCAUGUACCAGGUCUGUAUUUUAUC